AAAUUGAAGAGUUUGAUCAUGGCUCAGAUUGAACGCUGGCGGCAGGCCUAACACAUGCAAGUCGAACGGUAACAGGAAGCAGCUUGCUGCUUUGCUGACGAGUGGCGGACGGGUGAGUAAUGUCUGGGAAACUGCCUGAUGGAGGGGGAUAACUACUGGAAACGGUGGCUAAUACCGCAUAACGUCGCAAGACCAAAGAGGGGGACCUUCGGGCCUCUUGCCAUCAGAUGUGCCCAGAUGGGAUUAGCUUGUUGGUGAGGUAACGGCUCACCAAGGCGACGAUCCCUAGCUGGUCUGAGAGGAUGACCAGCCACACUGGAACUGAGACACGGUCCAGACUCCUACGGGAGGCAGCAGUGGGGAAUAUUGCACAAUGGGCGCAAGCCUGAUGCAGCCAUGCCGCGUGUAUGAAGAAGGCCUUCGGGUUGUAAAGUACUUUCAGCGGGGAGGAAGGUGUUGUGGUUAAUAACCGCAGCAAUUGACGUUACCCGCAGAAGAAGCACCGGCUAACUCCGUGCCAGCAGCCGCGGUAAUACGGAGGGUGCAAGCGUUAAUCGGAAUUACUGGGCGUAAAGCGCACGCAGGCGGUCUGUCAAGUCGGAUGUGAAAUCCCCGGGCUCAACCUGGGAACUGCAUUCGAAACUGGCAGGCUUGAGUCUUGUAGAGGGGGGUAGAAUUCCAGGUGUAGCGGUGAAAUGCGUAGAGAUCUGGAGGAAUACCGGUGGCGAAGGCGGCCCCCUGGACAAAGACUGACGCUCAGGUGCGAAAGCGUGGGGAGCAAACAGGAUUAGAUACCCUGGUAGUCCACGCCGUAAACGAUGUCUACUUGGAGGUUGUGCCCUUGAGGCGUGGCUUCCGGAGCUAACGCGUUAAGUAGACCGCCUGGGGAGUACGGCCGCAAGGUUAAAACUCAAAUGAAUUGACGGGGGCCCGCACAAGCGGUGGAGCAUGUGGUUUAAUUCGAUGCAACGCGAAGAACCUUACCUGGUCUUGACAUCCACAGAACUUUCCAGAGAUGGAUUGGUGCCUUCGGGAACUGUGAGACAGGUGCUGCAUGGCUGUCGUCAGCUCGUGUUGUGAAAUGUUGGGUUAAGUCCCGCAACGAGCGCAACCCUUAUCCUUUGUUGCCAGCGGUCCGGCCGGGAACUCAAAGGAGACUGCCAGUGAUAAACUGGAGGAAGGUGGGGAUGACGUCAAGUCAUCAUGGCCCUUACGACCAGGGCUACACACGUGCUACAAUGGCGCAUACAAAGAGAAGCGACCUCGCGAGAGUAAGCGGACCUCAUAAAGUGCGUCGUAGUCCGGAUUGGAGUCUGCAACUCGACUCCAUGAAGUCGGAAUCGCUAGUAAUCGUGGAUCAGAAUGCCACGGUGAAUACGUUCCCGGGCCUUGUACACACCGCCCGUCACACCAUGGGAGUGGGUUGCAAAAGAAGUAGGUAGCUUAACCUUCGGGGGGGCGCUUU
rnacentral:rRNA from 1 species